AAGUCGUAACAAGGUAACCGUAGGUGAACCUGCGGUUGGAUCAUUACAAAAUGAUAUAUUUCUAGGUUUGUAGUCUACCUUUCCAAGGUGUGAUUCGCCUAGAAAUAUCAAUUCACCCAAUGUGCACUGUUUCUGUUUUUCGGGUGAUUUUUAAAUUUUGCAGUAUUUAAUUGUACGGUAAAAGUAGAGAUUGCCCGGCAGUUUAUAAACCCAAUCAUAAUUUUAUUUGUCUGAUAAUUUCUGAAAAUGAAAUGAUAAACAACUUUUGACAACGGAUCUCUUGGCUCUC
rnacentral:misc_RNA from 1 species